rnacentral:rRNA from 1 species
GACGAACGCUGGCGGCGUGCUUAACACAUGCAAGUCGAACGGAAAGGCCCUGCUUUUGUGGGGUGCUCGAGUGGCGAACGGGUGAGUAACACGUGAGUAACCUGCCCUUGACUUUGGGAUAACUUCAGGAAACUGGGGCUAAUACCGGAUAGGAGCUCCUGCUGCAUGGUGGGGGUUGGAAAGUUUCGGCGGUUGGGGAUGGACUCGCGGCUUAUCAGCUUGUUGGUGGGGUAGUGGCUUACCAAGGCUUUGACGGGUAGCCGGCCUGAGAGGGUGACCGGCAAAAUGGGACUGAGAUACGGCCCAGACUCCUACGGGAGGCAGCAGUGGGGAAUAUUGCACAAUGGGCGGAAGCCUGAUGCAGCAACGCCGCGUGCGGGAUGACGGCCUUCGGGUUGUAAACCGCUUUCGCCUGUGACGAAGCGUGAGUGACGGUAAUGGGUAAAGAAGCACCGGCUAACUACGUG